rnacentral:lncRNA from 1 species
UCCCCAUUUGUAACACUGACGGGCAGAGCCUGUGCACGUGCACAUUGGUACUGGCAUUGUUGUCUCAUCAAAGGUGACCAAAUUUAAGCCGACAUCUUGGCUGUCCCAAUCUGUUCUAGAUUUCUUUCCAGGAGCAGCAACUCGACGGUUCAGAUCUUCACCCACUUUUUUCAACUUUACUUGUCCCUGUUUGUUCUCCUUCUUCCUUUUGUUCACCUUCGUGUUGGUCACCUCAGGAGGAAUAGUUGAUAAAGGGAAGACUGCAAGCUUGUGGGUUUCAGUACCGAAACAAUCAUCUCCAUCAGCGCGUUUCCCACCCGACAAAGCAAAGUUGAGACUAUUUUCAUGGUGUUGAAGCGCAG